AAAACAUGGCUAAUCCUUGACUGUGGACUGGGGAGAGCUUUGCACUCCUGAGGACUCCAGAAAAAUUCCAUCAUUUGUGAAGACAGUCACAGAGAUAGGACAUCAGAUGGUCUGGUCCUGCUGAAUGUGCCUGGGCUGCUCUACCUCUCCCUGACACUGUAGUUAUUCAGAGAGAAGGCAAAGAAGGUUCUGUGUGCAGACCUUCAAAGACUGUGGGUAUGCCUAACUGUAUUCAUGUUAGGUGCCCUUUGACUUCAGCCACAACAGAGGUGAUCCCAUCGCAAGUGAAGGAAACUUCCACAAGGAUAGCUAUGUUAAAAAAAAUAAAUAAAUUA
rnacentral:lncRNA from 1 species